UUCUUCAUCUUCUCCGACGCGUCCGUCGACGUCGCGUUCUCGAACCCGUCGAGGCACGUCUCCUGGUACGUCAGCGCCGAGCUGAGCCACGUCUUGAGGUCGUCGACGGCGUGCUUGAAGUUGCUCAUCUCGAACCCCCCGAGCUUGUCGAACGUCGUCUUGAGGUCGUCGAUGGCGUAGUCGAGCAGCUCCUUGCAGUCCUUGAGCGCGCCCGACGUGCGCUGGUCGUUCUUGAGGUCGUUCAGCACGGUGGACUCCCGCACCGCCUGCUCGAUCUUCUCCGACGUCGCCUUGAAGAUGGCCUUGGCGAGGUCCGUCGGGUUCGACGCGUUCCCGGCCGACGCCUCCAGCGUGCUCUCGCACGUCUCCCGGUAGUCCACCGGCUGGCAGAAGGACUUGAUCGACUUCACCGACGUCGACAGCUCGCCGUCGCCCUUGUCAUUGCCCGAGCCGCUCUUGAACGACACCACGCACACCGCCGCCACCACCGCCACCACCAGCACGGUCGACGCGCCGAUGAUCGCGCCUUUGCUCAUGGCAACAAUGCCGAGACGACCAGCGCCUCACGAUAUCAAAAUGGUGUCGUCGAUCGUCCCCUACCCCAGUGGAAGGGGGCCCGGUUUUAUUUGGUGUCUUGGUGGCGCCGUCGCCGAUCAUCACCAGGUUCGUCACGUUGCGCGCCACGGACACGUACUCCUUGUACGUCCCGGCCUUCACGUACAUCACGUACGUGGCCGUCGCCUUGAUGGGCACCUUGGCCAGCGCCUCGUUGAUGGUCUUGAAGUCGCCGCUGCCGUCGGCCGCCACCGUCACGUCCGGCUUGAACUCCGGCGCGCCGGGGGACGCCUGCAGCAGACGCCGCUUCGCGUCGGAUAUCCACCCGGGCAGGCCGUCGUCGCCGAGCAGGCGCCGGCUGAAGCUGGGCAGAUCCAGGUUCGCCAGCGUGUCCCCGAACUGGUCCACGAGCGCCAGGAUGUUCUCCGUCAGCUCCUGCGAGCUCUUGAGCGCGUUCUUCAUCUUCUCCGACGCGUCCGUCGACGUCGCGUUCUCGAACCCGUCGAGGCACGUCUCCUGGUACGUCAGCGCCGAGCUGAGCCACGUCUUGAGGUCGUCGACGGCGUGCUUGAAGUUGCUCAUCUCGAACCCCCCGAGCUUGUCGAACGUCGUCUUGAGGUCGUCGAUGGCGUAGUCGAGCAGCUCCUUGCAGUCCUUGAGCGCGCCCGACGUGCGCUGGUCGUUCUUGAGGUCGUUCAGCACGGUGG
rnacentral:lncRNA from 1 species